CCCAAUGUAUUUUAUUUAUUUAUUUUUUGAAUCACCUUUAUCAUCCACAUAGAGCUGCUGAGAUCACAUCUGUGAACUGCCUCCAUACCUGGGCGCCUGCUUAAGAAGAAACCUGCUUAAGAAGAAAGAAUGCGUUGGUCCCCGCCCUCAUUUGGACGAUUGACAGGGAGCAGUCAGUACAACCAGAAAAUUUUUAAAUUUAAGACAGCUUGUGCAACCCUCCUCCACAGACAAAAGUGCUGAGGUCAAGCUGCGGUUGGGCAGGGGCGACCCGUCCCAGAUCUGCCAGCACAGUUUGCCUUUAGAGUUUAGGGAAGUUUGGGUCCUGCUUUUCCCAAGUCAGUGUUCUGCUGGCCAAACGUCUUGCCUCAUUGUUUGCGCUCCGAGCUUUGGUCGCUGGAAGAUACCCCCUCUGCCCUGUGAGCUCUUAGUUCCUACCUCUCUGCUCCACCCCAAAGCCUCUUGGGCCCACCCUUCUAUGGUCUCGUGCAAACAACCCGUAGGGUUGGGUCCACGGCCAAGGGCCCUCCUGCCCGCGAGCAGCGGACGCCCUGUCUGGGUCGCUAAAUCCAGCCAUGAAAAUAAAGGUUCUGCUCAGCUUCCUUGCAGUGCCCGAACGUCACCGCCCUUGGACUCUGGGACGGACAGACCUGGGCUGAAAGGUCAGCCCACCGUGACCCUGGGCAAGUCACCGAGUCUGCCUGAGACUCAGCUUCCUCCUCUGCGAAAUGGAGAUACAAGCGGCCUUGCGGGGGACCGGGAAGGUUAAUUGAAGUAACACGCGGAAAGCGCUCGCCGAGGGCACACAGCAUGCAGAGGACUGUUGCACCUACCUGCCUUGCAGACCAAGCCUCACCCAUACGUGAGGCUUGGAGAGCCUGCGGUGUGCUCCAGGGGAGGCAAAGUUACAAAGGCCGCAAGCCGAGAACUCUACUGAGCUCCCACUAAGUCCCCAGCGCCUUGCUCAGCACGGUGUCUGUGUUAGUUCCUCUCAACAACCCCUUGAGGAAGCACCUGCUACUGUCCCCAUUUACAGAGGGGAAACCUGAGGCUCAGAAGUCAUUACUUGUCACUCAGCUGGUGAGCGCGAACCCUAAGGCAGGCAUAUUCCAGAGCCCAAGUUUCUGUAUCCUGACUCACGCUACCUCGUGCCCAUUAUCUCUGUGUUCGUUCAAAUAACCCUGAGGUUAUUGGUAUUAUCCCCAUUUUACAGAUGAGCAAAGUGACGAAGUCAGGUUCAGACUGGUGGAGUGACUCACAGAGCCGUGCAAGGGCGGGGCUGGAAAGAUCCCAGAUGCACUGCGACGGCUGGGACUUAUUUACCUUAUAUUACAGAGCACUUGCCACGCACCAGGUGACCUGCUAAGUACUUUCUGACGAUUCACUACUGUCAUCAUCCCCGUUUCACAGAGUGAGGCUGAUUCAUUCACUUACCCGGAUGAAUGUUCACAUCUCGACUGACUUAUUUAAUGAGAACAAGUUCAUGUGCCAACAUGCGAACUGACCCUCAAGCCCCUUCUGCCGAAAGAAUUUGGACCGUAUCUCGUUCUUGAGUUAACAAGCCCUGGAUGAGGAUCGCUUGUUUUGCACAGCGAUGCCUGUUGGCCUCGGCUAGCGUUCUGACAAGAGGGGGGGUGUGAGAGCUCGUGAGGGAAGACGGGGAAGAAGGACCCCCACAGGGGAGCCAGAGGAGAGCGUGGCACAGUUUAUCAAAAGUGAUUUUACCCCACUGGCCGUCUUUGCGGACGAGGAAGCCCAUGGAUGGCAGCGGGGCAGUGGCUCUGCCAAGUUCAUCGGCUGAUUUACAGCAGAACUGGGGCCCGUUUGUCCAGCUGUCUACGUCUCUCCAUCUAGUUCUUCUUCUUCUUCCCGGGUUUCCUCCUUCUCCGCCACUGCCUGCCUGAUUCCUUGCUUUUUAUUCCAAAUAUGUAAGUCUCUAAUAAACCUACAGACAGGCUGAUGCCUGAUUUAUCCCCAGUUA